rnacentral:rRNA from 1 species
UACAGAGGUCCCGAGCGUUGUUCGGAUUCACUGGGCGUAAAGGGUGCGCAGGUGGGUUGGCAAGUUUGAUGUGAAAGCCCCGGGCUUAACCCGGGAAACGGCAUUGAAUACUGCUGAUCUGGAGGAUCGGAGGGGGACUGGAAUUCUUGGUGGUAGCGAGUGAAAUGCGUAGAUAUCAAGAGGAACACCAGUGGCGAAGGCGAGUCCCUGGACGA